UACGUAGGGUGCAAGCGUUGUCCGGAAUUAUUGGGCGUAAAGAGCUCGUAGGCGGUCUGUCGCGUCGGAUGUGAAAACCCAGGGCUCAACCCUGGGCCUGCAUUCGAUACGGGCAGACUAGAGUUCGGUAGGGGAGACGUGGAAUUCCUGGUGUAGCGGUGAAAUGCGCAGAUAUCAGGAGGAACACCGGUGGCGAAGGCGG
rnacentral:rRNA from 1 species